AAGAUACUCCCUCCGUCCGGAAAUACUUGUCGAAGGAAUGAACGUAUCGAGACGUAUUUUAGUGUUAGAUACAUCCAUGUUUAGUCAUUUUUACGACAAGUAUUUCCGGACGGAGGGAGUAUCAU
rfam:Triticum aestivum genome assembly, contig: Triticum_aestivum_CS42_TGACv1_scaffold_499794_6BL